CGGAAAAUGAGUGAAUCUUUCUCUUCCAACUGUGCAAAAGAGGUUGAUACCUCCAUAAGCUUCAAGAAUUCUAUCUCUCAAAUGCACGAUGCCCUCAAAUCUCUGGAUCUAAAUGAUAGUUCAGAAGAAAGGGCUUCAGAAGCAUCUUCUCAAGCAUCUCCUCUUGUUUUUGAAACCGUCUUGUUUUGUUUUCAAGAAAUGCUUGAAGCUCAACUUAGCCAGUUAAAGUCAUCCUUGGAUGACCAAUCAAAGAGGCUAAGUCGACUUGAAGAAAGAGUUGAUCAAUGGAUCUCUCUCUCGGAGAUCCACACCAAAGGCGUGAAAGACUCUAGUAGUUACUCUAACUCGGAGUCCUAGGAGUCUUUUCAAAAGUUGCGUCCUUUUGUGUCACGCUUUUUCUUUCUUGUUUUUUUGUCAUCCUUGUAUUUUCUUUUGUUUUGGGCUUGAACUGUAAAUUUGGGAACAUUGUUUGUGACCAAAUUAUCAAGCACCAUAUCUUGUUGAUGACUUUAAACAAAAGGUCAAAUGCUUUUAAAUGCACUUAUCUUGUUUGACCUAGUUGCUUUGUUGUAAUGAUAUAUAAGUUGCCUCUGUGUGCGCUGUUAUAUGCUUUCAAAUCGAU
rnacentral:lncRNA from 1 species